CCUACGGGAGGCAGCAGUAGGGAAUAUUGCACAAUGGGGGAAACCCUGAUGCAGCAACGCCGCGUGGAGGAUGAAGGUUUUCGGAUUGUAAACUCCUUUUGUCAGAGAAGAUAAUGACGGUAUCUAACGAAUAAGCACCGGCUAACACCGGGCCAGCAGCCGCGGUAAUACGGAGGGGGCAAGCGUUACUCGGAAUCACUGGGCGUAAAGAGCGCGUAGGCGGGAUGGUAAGUCAGAUGUGAAAUCCUAGGGCUUAACCAUAGAACUGCAUUUGAAACUAUUAUCCUAGAGUAUGGGAGAGGUAAGUGGAAUUCUUGGUGUAGGGGUAAAAUGCGUAGAGAUCAGGAGGAAUACUCAUGGCGAAGGCGGCCUGCUAGAACAUAACUGACGCUGAGGCGCGAAAGCGUGGGGAGCAAACAGGAUUAGAUACCCCAGUAGUC
rnacentral:rRNA from 1 species